UUGCUUGUGACUUUUUAUCCUUUCGAAUGAGUUUUUUAAUGUAAAAUAUUUGUGUUUGAUAUUUUCAAAUUUAUUUGUUAUUUUACUUAUUCAUUGCUUAACCAGGUUUAUCCUAAAAAACUGAUAUCAGAGCUAGUUUGAUUUUUGCAAUCAACCCAUUCAAAUAUGGUAGCAUCAAGGUUUGAUGUUUAAUAGUUUGAUGGCAUCGCAAAAUUCAAUCUAUGGCAAGGUCGGAUGAUGACAAUUCUGAUUCAGAAUGAUUCUGAGUAGGUCCUUACAGAGAAGAAGCCUACAAACAUGGAUAAAUUAGAAUGAGAUAGGUUAGAUAAAAAAGCUCUAUCCACAGUUCAAUUAUGUCUAACAAAUAAUACGUUGCAGGAGGUUUUGAUGGAGAAAACGAAAUUCACCUGGUGGAAAGGGUUAGAAACCCUCUACGUAACAAAGUCUUUGGCUAACCAGUUGGUAUUAAAACGUCGUCUAUAUACAUUCUACAUGGACAAAAGUGAGCACCUUAGAGGUCAGAUUAGUCAAUUUAUCACUCUUUUGAAUGGUAUAAAAAAUGUUGAGGUUUAGAUUAAUGAUGAAGAUCAAACUAUGUUAUUAUUGUGCUAUUUACCCUCUUCAUACAAGUCUUUCAGAGAGACAUUGAUUUAUGACGGAGAUAAUCUA
rnacentral:lncRNA from 1 species